AUCCAGUUGACGAGUCCAAAAUAGAGCAAGACGCGCAUCCUGGAU
rnacentral:hammerhead_ribozyme from 1 species